rnacentral:rRNA from 1 species
GAUGAACGCUGGCGGCGUGCCUAAUACAUGCGAGUCGAGCGAACAGAUGAGGAGCUUGCUCCUCUGACGUUAGCGGCGGACGGGUGAGUAACACGUGGAUAACCUACCUAUAAGACUGGGAUAACUUCGGGAAACCGGAGCUAAUACCGGAUAAUAUAUUGAACCGCAUGGUUCAAUAGUGAAAGACGGUUUUGCUGUCACUUAUAGAUGGAUCCGCGCCGCAUUAGCUAGUUGGUAAGGUAACGGCUUACCAAGGCGACGAUGCGUAGCCGACCUGAGAGGGUGAACGGCCACACUGGAACUGAGACACGGUCCAGACUCCUACGGGAGGCAGCAGUAGGGAAUCUUCCGCAAUGGGCGAAAGCUUGACGGAGCAACGCCGCGUGAGUGAUGAAGGUCUUCGGAUCGUAAAACUCUGUUAUUAGGGAAGAACAAAUGUGUAAGUAACUAUGCACGUCUUGACGGUACCUAAUCAGAAAGCCACGGCUAACUACGUG